rnacentral:lncRNA from 1 species
UUUGUUAUUAAAUAGCACCACAUAUCAUCAUAGGAGAACCCGAUGUUAAAUUUAUGGUCAUUGUUAUUAAAUGUCUAAAGCCAUUGGUAUAUCAUCAGAAGACGGUGAUAAUUUACUUUUGAUUUUGACAAUGUCAGAAUAUCGUUGAUGACCUUACUAAACCUAACUACUCUAUUAUUUCAUUGAGCUGUUUGGAUUCAGUAUGUUUGUUUGCAUUCUUGUUUAAGCAGUAGGCUUGGGCCUUGGGUUAUACAAAAUAGGCCGUUGCUUCAUUAAUUAUAAGGGUCUUUAAUUAGUAUAUACAAAGUAAAGGUAAACAUAUCUAAAUAAUAUAUACUUUAUUAUAUAUAAUUUUUUCAACGUAAACAAUUACAAAAUGUAUAAAUAAAGUUAUUAAAUUGAAAAUAGAUAAUAAACGAGCCGAGCCCGAGCUCGAAAGGCUACUCACAAACCAAGCUUGAGAUUUAACGAUCCUAGCUCAUGUCUAAUCUCUCUAAAAAGGUAAACGAGCCAAGCUCGAGCUUGUACAAGCUCGGCUUGUUUACACCCCUAACCAUGAAUCAUAGUUGUUAAUAGCGAAUAGCGACAAAUAGCGAUAAGGUACCUAUAUGCUACAUAGCGAAUAGUGAUAAAUAGCGGGUUGUUUUUUUAUAAAUAGCGAUACACUAGAAUUAAAAAAAAAUAUAUGUAUAUUAUAUCAAAAUAUCCAAGUAUAUAUGCUACUUUACAUGUAUAUUUAACAAAAACAAAAAAUCCAGCUAUUUUAUAGGGAUAUUUUGCUAUUUAUAUUAGAAAAAAAAUAAAAAUAAAAUAAAUCGUCCCUAGUAUCGCUAUCUAUCGCUACAAUACUAAUAGCGAGCCUAGACUUAUACGCUACGUAGCGCUAUAGCGAUCGCUACGCUCGCUAUUGACAACUAUGCCAUGAAUAUCAUAUCUAUGUAUUACAAACUAUGAUGCUAUCAUUCCUAUCCAUGAUUUGCAGGGAUGUGGAAUCGGUUAUGAAACCAUGGGGUGGUUCACAGGGAAAAUUAAUUGGUUUAUUGGCUCAUGGUGUAGAAAAAAAACGUCCGAGGCGUCUGUAUUGAGGUGCGUGUCUCGAGGCGAGACGGGAAGAAAUCGUUUUUGAGGCGGCGCAUCGCUGGUUAAUUAUGUUGUAAAUCACAUGAAAACCCCCUGGAUCAUUUUGUCUUUUUAAAUGUUUCUAGUUACAUUGUCCUAAAUAAUCCCAUUUUCUCUGUAGUCGCAUACCCCAAUAGUAUUGACAAAAGAGAUCACUCUUGCAGUGUCAUUCUUGAUUCAUUUGAGCUUUGGUAAUUAGUUUCACUGGUAUAAUCAUUGUUUUUGUUCAUCACCUGUUCAUGAGAUGGAUUCCAAGAUUUUGAAGAACUAGAGGUAUGCAAGGAAGCACAUGAAAUAGAGUGGGAAAAUUUCUAUAGAAAAAUAUAUGUUUUGAGGUUAGUUGUCAUUUUUUUAGUUUUUGUUAUCAACUAGAACUUUUAGGGGUGUUGUUGGGUUUCUAGUUUUUCUGCUUGGCUUAAUCGGGUAUUUUCAAUUUGAAAAUGUAACCAAUACUUGAACUAAUUUAUCGUAGUUUAAGUCUUUUUUUUCUUUAUGGGUUUCGUUAUACUUAAAAGACAAAAGCAUUGUAACUUAAAUAUAAUAUUGCAUACACUUGAAUGGAACCGAAAAUGCAACGGGUGAACCGAUUACCCGAUUCUUAAAAUCCGACCUACUUGAACUGGCUUACUCGAAUCUUAAACGGGUCAGUGGGUUUAUUAAGGCAUCCAUUGUUUUUGACGGGCCUAAGAACAUUAAUUUAAUCACCAGGCUUUUAAAUUUGGUGUAGAUUUAAUAUGAUGUUAUUUGUGGAUAUCUUUUUGUGUCAAACUUUACCUUUCUUUUUUAUGAAAAAACGACAGGUUUUAAUGUUUACUUAUUUUUGCCAAAACAUGUUUUGACCGUAAUCAAUAUGACCAUUCAUUUUGACCUGACACUGGCUACUUGAUCUUUGUUCUCUUGAUCUAGUCUUGAAAGAUGCAAACUUUCACUGUUUCACAUAACUACAUUUUUCUGUUCAACUUUUUAACACUUUACCUCAUAUUUCUAUAUCAUGUUACUAUUUUCUUGUGUUUUUACAGACUUUGACAGCUCUAGCAACUUCCUUUCAUGUGCUACAACCUUUGACAUAUUCUAUAUCUCGCUUUGUAUGGGUUAAGUUACUAAGUGACAUAAAUUUCCCGCCGAAACAAUGAGUAGAAAUGGUCUGAAGAGGUGACCAUAGUUCCAACAUUUGAUGGUAGAAAUGUUUAACGGAGCCUUUCUUGAGGAACGUUGAACUUGUAUCUUUACCAGAAUUAUACCAUCUGACAGACAUCAACAAAGCUUGGAGGCUCUGAUGUGGGAGCUAUCAAACAACUAUCACUUGAAGAUCAAGACGAGUAGAAUAUUCUCUUUAUUAUUAGGAUGUUAUAUGUUGAUGUUAUACUAUAACUAUUAGGAUGUUAUAUGUUGAUGGUCUAUUUAUAAAAUUGGUUUUAUAAUCUUAUUU